CUCGCCUUACCCAAGUUUAUUCUCCUUCAUUAAAAAAUUAUCACCUCUUACCAAAGUCUGUCCACCUUCAUUAACAAAAAUAUCUCCCCUUAGGCUCUUACUAAAGUCUAUCCCCGUCAUUAAUGAUUUGAAAAAUUAUCUCCCCUUACCAAAGUAUGUCCACCUUCAUUAACAAAAAUAUCUCCCCUUAGGCUCUUACUAAAGUCUAUCCCCGUCAUUUAUGAUUUGAAAAAAUUAUCUCCCCUUACCAAAGUCUAUCUCCGUCAUUUAUGAGUUGAAAAAUUAUCUCCCCUUACCAAAGUCUAUCAACCUUCAUUAACAAAAAUAUCUCACCUUACGCUCUUAUCAAAAUCUAUCCCCGUCAUUUAUGAUUUGAAAAAUUAUCUCCCCUUACCAAAGUUUAUCAUCCUUCAUUAACAAAACUAUCUCCCCUUAGGCUCUUACCAAAGUCUAUCCCAGUCAUUUAUUAUUUGAAAAAUUAUCUCCCCUUACCAAAGUCUAUCAACCUUAAUUAACAAAAAAAAUCUCCCCUUAGGCUCUUACCAAAGUCUAUCCCCGUCAUUUAUUAUUUGAAAAAUUAUCUCCCCUUACCAAAGUUUAUCAACCUUAAUUAACAAAAAAAAAAUAUCUCCCCUUAGGCUCUUACCAAAGUCUAUCCCCGUCAUUUAUUAUUUGAAAAAAUAUCUCCCCUUACAAAAGUUUAUCAACC
rnacentral:lncRNA from 1 species